rnacentral:rRNA from 1 species
CCUACGGGAGGCAGCAGUGGGGGAUAUUGCACAAUGGGGGGAACCCUGAUGCAGCGACGCCGCGUGGGUGAAGGAGCGUUUCGGCGCGUAAAGCCCUAUCGGCAGGGAAGAAGGAGGACGGUACCUGACUAAGAAGCCCCGGCUAACUACGUGCCAGCAGCCGCGGUAAUACGGAGGGGGCAAGCGUUAUCCGGAUUUACUGGGGGUAAAGGGGGCGCAGACGGCAGCGCAAGCCAGGAGUGAAAGCCCGGGGCCCAACCCCGGGACUGCUUUUGGAACUGCGCGGCUGGAGUGCAGGAGGGGCAGGCGGAAUUCCGGGUGUAGCGGUGAAAUGCGUAGAUAUCAGGAGGAACACCGGUGGCGAAGGCGGACUGCUGGACUGCGACUGACGUUGAGGCCCGAAAGCGUGGGGAGCAAACAGGAUUAGAUACCCCAGUAGUC